rnacentral:rRNA from 1 species
GACGAACGCUGGCGGCGUGCUUAACACAUGCAAGUCGAACGGAAAGGCCCUGCUUUUGUGGGGUGCUCGAGUGGCGAACGGGUGAGUAACACGUGAGUAACCUGCCCUUGACUUUGUGAUAACUUCAGGAAACUGGGGCUAAUACCGGAUAUGAGCUCCUGCUGCCUGGUGGGGGUUGGAAAGUUUCGGCGGUUGGGGAUGGACUCGCGGCUUAUCAGCUUGUUGGUGGGGUAGUGGCUUACCAAGGCUUUGACGGGUAGCCGGCCUGAGAGGGUGACCGGCCACAUUGGGACUGAGAUACGGCCCAGACUCCUACGGGAGGCAGCAGUGGGGAAUAUUGCACAAUGGGCGGAAGCCUGAUGCAGCAACGCCGCGUGCGGGAUGCCGGCCUUCGGGUUGUAAACCGCUUUCGCCUGUGACGAAGCGUGAGUGACGGUAAUGGGUAAAGAAGCACCGGCUAACUACGUG